GAUGAAGCUAAUUGUGCACAUCUCGUAUAAUAUUCACACAUAUUCUUAAUGACAUUUCACUGAUGCUUCUAUCAGGUCCCAUCAAUUCUUAGAAUAUCUAAGAAUCUUUGUUAGAUAUUAGGUCCCAUCAAUUCUUAGAAUAUCUAAACAUCUUUGUUGAUGUUUAGAUUUUUUUAUUUGAUGUGUAAGAAAAUGUUCUUUGUGUGAUUAAAUGACACAUUUUUUUGCU
rnacentral:lncRNA from 1 species